rnacentral:lncRNA from 1 species
UGAAUAUUUCUCCUAAGAUAGAAAACCUAGUCUGAUGAACUUUCUCCUAGGAUCACAAUCUUAGUCUGAUGAAUUUUUCUCCUAAGAUAGAGGACCUAGUCUGAUGAAUAUUCUCCUAGGAUCAAAAUCUUAGUCGGAUGAAUCUUUCUCCUAAGAUAAUAAAUUAGAAGACCUAGUCUGAUGACUUUUCUCCUAGGAUCAAAAUCUUAGUCUGAUCAAUUUUUCUCCUAAGAUAGAAGACCUAGUCUGAUGAACUUUCUCCUAGGAUAGAUGUCUUAGUCUGAUAAAUUUUUCUCCUAAGAUACAAAACCUAGUAUGAUGAAUUUUCUCCUAGGAUAAAUGUCUUAGUAUGAUGAAUCUUUCAAGAUAACAAAAAGAGGACCUAGUCUGAUGAACUUUCUCCUAGGAUCAAAAUCUUAGUCUGAUGAAUUUUUCUCCUAAGAUAGAAGACCUAGUCUGAUGAACUUUCUCCUAGGAUAGAAAUCUUAGUCGGAUGAAUCUUUCUCCUAAGAUACCAAAAAAAAAGAGAAAAAGGACCUAGUCUGAUGAAUUUUCUCUUAGGAUUAACGUCUUAGUCUGAUGAAUCUUUCUCCUAAGAUAGAAAACUUAGUCUGACGAAUUUUCUCUUAGGAUAUUUUGGAAAAAAAAGGAAGUCUGGAUUUGAAAAAAAA